GCAAAGGGCCUCUGAGGGAGUAUUACAGCCGCCUCAUCCACCAGAAGCAUUUCCAGCACAUCCAGGGUCGGUGGACCUGGUGUCUGUCUGGACACGUCCUCCAGUGGCCUGGACCUGCCCAUGAAGGUGGUGGACAUGUUCAGGUGCUGUUUGCCUGCGUGUGCCGUGAACUUCAAGUGUUUACAUGAGCUGGUGAAACAUGAAGAAAACCGCCUGGUCUUUGAGGACUCAGAGGAACUGGCAGCUCAGCUGCAGUAUUUUGCAGAUGCUUUUCUCAAACUUUCCUGAUCCUGCAGGCAAGCUAAACCAGUUCUGGAAGAACCUGCGGGAGUCACAGCAGCUCUGAUGGGAUGAGAGCUGGGUGCAGACUGUGCUCCCUUUGGUUAUGGACACAUAACUCCUGGGCCAGAGGCUAAAACCCCA
rnacentral:sRNA from 1 species